ensembl:lncRNA
GGCUCCUGGGGGCCGCUGCUGUUACAGAUGUCACAGUUUGUAGACAAAGUGGGAAAUGGACUGAGAGAUUUGGCUCUGAGAGCUGUGUUCGUACCUGGCAGGUAGCUAAUAUUAUUCACACAGUGGGGCUGGGCUGGGCCGAAGGUGAAAUUCUUACUGGUUUGUGGUUUACACAAAAACCUGGUGUGAGAUUUGGAUAUCCCUGUAUGUGCAGUAUGCAAACACACACAGCACUUGCAAAUGCAACAGUUGCAUUUGAACCUCAGAUUUGUUUUAUAAAUAAUGUUAUAUAAAACAUUUUAAAUGCAUCAUUUGCAUAUCGCUGCAAACGGCGCUGUAAACGGUUUGAUAAAGUUUACAUAGUCAUGGUUUAAAUGUAGAUGUUUUAAUGUUUUAAGCCUCACGGUUCUGCCCAGCCCUGCUCAGGCCUCUGGGUCAGUUAGUUUCCUACAUUGUCAUUGGAUCCAAAAGGCGGUGAUAAUUACACGUGUUUGUUUCAUGUUUACGGCUCGUCUCUCAUACUUGUCCUGCGGGGCUCUGCCUUUCUGUCUCUAUUUAUUAUUACAUGAACUGAGGAACAAUUUACACUACAUCCGACACAGAACAAAUUGUAAAUCCAAAUCUAUGAAUCGAUGCAUAUUUUCCUAAAGAUUUGAGCAAUUAUGAAUGGAUUCUAUGUAUAUGUACGUAAAUGUAUAUAGAAAUAUAUUUUUUUGCAUUAUACAGCUGGGGGAUUUUGCAAGUAUCGUUUGAUAUUAUUAUUAUUUUGUUCCCUGCCAGGCCGUUUUUAAGAUUUUAAUGUAGCCAGACUCGAGUGUCUUCCCAUGGUUUGGUAAAGUGUCUUCUGUGGCACGGGCACAUUUUUAAGGCGCUGUUUGGUUUGACGUUGGAGCUUUACACAGACCCUGCUCUUCACAAACACGUUAUUCUCACAUUCGGAGACUCCAGGUGAAAACUGCAUCAAACGUGUUUAAACCUGUCUAACUUAUUCUAUUAUUUAUUUUGUAUUUAUUUUAUCUCGGUACACGCUUCACCAUUUUCACAAAACACAUUGAAAACGCCCCAUUGAGACGAUUCCCUCUGUUUUUGAACCUAUUUAUUCAUGACGUUUGUUUUGAGAAUAUCCGGGUUACUAUGGAAUCACUAUGCAGCUGUCAGUUCAAAAUGAUUGUACAAACCUUAUGCAAACAGAUGCCUUUGUCCUGAAGAUGUGGAAAACUCUAAAUUGUUCCUUAAUUUUGUGAUGAAGAGAUGAAACUCAGGCAAACAGAAACAGUAUUAGGACACGCUUGACCUUUGACCUUACCGCUACACUCCUGAAGGAUGUCACAUGGUCUGAAUGGGAGCUAGAUCUUCAAAGACUUUAAUUACUGUUGUAUAAUGUAUGCAUUUUUUAUAUUAAGGAAAAACAUCGCAGCA